rnacentral:rRNA from 1 species
AGUUGAUCAGUGCUCGAGGACGACGCUGGCGGCGUGCCUAAUACAUGCAAGUCGAGCGAAUGAUGAGGAGCUUGCUCCUUGAUUAGCGGCGGACGGGUGAGUAACACGUGGGUAACCUACCCUAUAGACUGGGAUAACUUCGGGAAACCGGAGCUAAUACCGGAUAAUACUUUUGAACUCAUGUUCGGAAGUUGAAAGAUGGUUUCGGCUAUCACUAUAGGAUGGACCCGCGGCGCAUUAGCUAGUUGGUGAGGUAACGGCUCACCAAGGCAACGAUGCGUAGCCGACCUGAGAGGGUGAUCGGCCACACUGGGACUGAGACACGGCCCAGACUCCUACGGGAGGCAGCAGUAGGGAAUCUUCCACAAUGGACGAAAGUCUGAUGGAGCAACGCCGCGUGAGUGAAGAAGGAUUUCGGUUCGUAAAACUCUGUUGCAAGGGAAGAACAAGUAGCGUAGUAACUGGCGCUACCUUGACGGUACCUUGUUAGAAAGCCACGGCUAACUACGUGCCAGCCGCUGC